UUCUGGUUGAUCCUACCAGUAGUCAUAUGCUUGUUCUCAAAGAUUAAGCCAUGCCUCGUACGGUGAAACCGCGAAUGGCUCAUGAAAAUCAGUCGAGGUUCCUUAGAUGAUCCAUUUCUACUUGGAUAACUGUGGCAAUUCUAGAGCUAAUACAUGCAAACCAACUCCGACCCGUUAAAGAGGGGAAAGAACGCUUUUAUUAGUUCAAAAUCAGUCGGGUCUCGGCCCCGUUCCUUUUUAAUGACUCUGGAUAACUUUUGUGCCGAUCGCAUGGCCUCGAGCCGGCGAGGCAUCUUUCAAAUGUCUGCCUUAUCAACUGUCGAUGGUACGUGAUAGACCUACCAUGUUGACAACGGGUAACGGGGAAUCAGGGUGUGAUUCCGGAGAGGGAGCAUGAGAAACGGAUACCACAUCCAAGGAAGGCACCAGGCGCGCAACUUACCCACUCCCAGCUCGGGGAGGUAGUGACGAAAAAUAACAAUACGGAACUCUUUUGAGGCUCCGCAAUUGGAAUGAGUACACUUUAAACCCUUUAACGAGGAUCUAUUGGAGGGCAAGUCUGGUGCCAGCAGCCGUGGUAAUUCCAGCUCCAAUAGCGUAUAUUAAAGUCGUUGCGCUUAAAAACUCGUAGUUGCAUCUGAGGCAUGGCCGUGCGGUCCGUCUCGCGACGGUCACUGCGCGAAGCCUGAGCGUGCGCGGCUCUUCGCAGGGUCGUCUUCGCAAGACGAACAACUGCGAAAGCAUUUGCCAAGCAUAUUUUCAUUAGUCAAGAACUAGUCAGAGGUUCGAAGACGAUUAAAUACUGUCAUUGUUCUGACCAUAAACGAUGCCAACUAGCUUUGUGCAAGUGUCGCUUCAUCGACUCUGAAACCAAACUUUUCGGGUUCCAGGGGAAGUAUGGUUGCAAAGCUGAAACUUAAAGGAAUUGACGGAAGGUCACCACCAGGAGUGGAGCCUGUGGCUUAAUUUGAUUCAACACGGUAAAACACACCCACUCCGCACACUGUAAGCAUUGACAGAUUGAUAUCUUUUUCUUGAUUCGGUGGGUGGUGGCGCAUGGCCGUUCUUAGGUGGUGGAGCGAUUUGUCUGAUUAAUUCCGACAACGGGCGAGUCUCUAGCCUGUGAAAUAGUUCACCGAUUCUUCACGCAUCGGUGCUAACUUCUUAGAGGCAGAAGUGGCGUUUAGCCACAAGAGAUUGAGCAAUAACAGGUCUGGCAAAGCAAAGCAGAUGAAAAGAAAUGAAAGAACUUUAGGCGGUGGGAUCACUCGACUCGCACGUCGAUGAAGAACGCAGCCAGUUGCGUGAAUUAAUGUGAAUUGCAGAACACUCUAACCCUUACCAUUUAAAAAAAAAACAACCAAAAAACCAAAAACAAAACAAAACAAAAGCAAACAAACCCGGGGGAGGGCCUAGUGCAAAACUUUUUUUUAACAAAAGUUCCAGGUCGAUGGGAGGGUCUGGUGCAGAGAGGAGGGUCUGGUGCAGAGAGGAGGGUCUGGUGCACAGGUACGGCCUGGUGCAAAACUUUUUUUUAACAAAAGUUCCACUUCGAUGGGAGGGUCUGGUGCAAAGAGGAGGGUCUGGUGCAAAGGGAGGGCCUGGUGCAAAACUUUGAGAAAAAAAUUUGAUUCAUCACUUUCUUCGCUUUGGCAUUAGAAGCUUAUGUGUACCUCGUUUCCUUCAAGUAUACGAAAAGGGCCUGGUCUGAGUGAGGGCCUGGUGCAUAUAGGAAGGUCUGGUGGUAAGUGUGAAUGUGAGUGUAUGCGUUUGUGUAUGCGAAUGUGAUUCGUGACCUAUAAUUUCACAGUUGUCAUGCUCGCACUUGUUUUGUAAGACUUCUGUAACUAAAAUAUGUGUAUGCUCCUUAGCCAAAGGAAUAGGAAAAGAUUAACAUCUUAGAAGUAGUCGUAUGAUACGCCAUUUUUGUCUCGUCUUUCUAUUUUUUCGUAUGCAUGUAUCUCGAGUUAAACAACAUUUGCUGCUUACAAAACAGAGCUGAGGUCAACGUACAAAGUGGUCACGGAGCUCGCCUAUCGCAGGAAGAAUGUUUGCUGCGCAGGGUACACUGAAGAUGGUGAUACAUGUAUCCGUAAGUCCUCCAACUCUUCUGACCUCGUGAUUCUGGUUGCCCUCUGCAUAACUUUGUUUGGAUGGUUGAUUAGGCGUAUCCAACCACAUCGCGCACCUGCAUCCUGUCGCUAGUCGACCCCCUCACACCUUCCCUCUGUCACGUGGCUGUCACCCGGCCAGCGACCACCCGACCCCCACAUCGCCAGCCUCCACCCCCUGUGUGCGUGCUAUGUUCCAUCCCCACUAACUGCGAUGUCGCACACUACCAUACAGUAUAGUAAUCGAGUUUAUUGGCAAAUAGCAUUUGACAAGGCAGGAACAUCAGUGUCAAUGAGAGUGACUAGCGUCUCAAAUUGACUGACAAUAAUGAAGUUUGUGAGAAAAGCUCAUAAAGUUUUUAGUCAGCAGGUAAAAUGACAAUAUUAGUACUGUAUAACUUUGUUCUAUGAACUAUUACGAUUCAGCUAAAAUAUGCUAAACAUUUCUAUUUUUCUGUCAUUUUUACAAAACAUUCUAAUCUCCUUAAAUAUUAAAAGUAUUAACACUUACUAGCUAACUAGUCUUUAAAACAGUUGCUUUGUCUUCUAAAACUCAGCAGGUAUUUUAACGGCUAGUGACUGAUGGGGGUUGAAGUCGACCGAGUUUAUGCUUCGUAAAAAGUUGGAUGAAUUCAAA
rnacentral:rRNA from 1 species